AGUGAACGCUGGCGGUAGGCCUAACACAUGCAAGUCGAACGGCAGCACAGUAAGAGCUUGCUCUUACGGGUGGCGAGUGGCGGGCGGGUGAGGAAUACAUCGGAAUCUACUUUUUCGUGGGGGAUAACGUAGGGAAACUUACGCUAAUAUCGCAUACGACCUACGGGUGAAAGCAGGGGAUCUUCGGACCUUGCGCGAUUGAAUGAGCCGAUGUCGGAUUGGCUAGUUGGCGGGGUAAAGGCCCACCAAGGCGACGAUCCGUAGCUGGUCUGAGAGGAUGAUCGGCCACACUGGAACUGGGACACGGUCCAGACUCCUACGGGAGGCAGCAGUGGGGAAUAUUGGACAAUGGGCGCAAGCCUGAUCCAGCCAUACCGCGUGGGUGAAGAAGGCCUUCGGGUUGUAAAGCCCUUUUGUUGGGAAAGAAAAGCAGCAGGUUGAUACCCCGCUGUUCUGACGGUACCCAAAGAAUAAGCACCGGCUAACUUCGUG
rnacentral:rRNA from 1 species